AGGUACUCUGACCACGUAUACGCAGUAGGCGGGACCCUCUCAGGGUCAAGCAAUGUGGGACUACUUCCAGUAGUUGACUGAGCUCCGCAGCUGAGCCGGAUCGUGUGCUUACGAGCCUUGAGCCUUCGUAGGACUCCUUCAUUCAUUUUUUCCCUUGAAUUUUGUUUUUGUUGUAAUUGAAUUCCUUAGAUAUGCUCUGUUAUCGCCCUUGCUAGGGUUUGAUUUUUGAGGCCGGAAGCCUUUGUUGUAAACUGUUUAUUUGCUUUAAAGCAUGCUGCUGGUUGGGUA